GUGUGCAAGCGCCGCGGAGGGAGCGCGUCGGGGCAGCGGAGAGCGCCCACCUCCAGGGGUUCUGCCGGACCUUUCUUCUGCAGGGCUCGCAGGCUGCAGGCGCCCCGUCGACCGGCGGCCUCGGGCAGCCGGGCACGCUCCGGAGUCCGUCCUUUUGAAGUAGGACGUGGGCCUGGGCUGUCGAGCCGGCGGCGGAGUCAACGUUGGCCGCUCAAAACGCUGCAGCCUCAGGCGCAGCCGCCCAGAGUUUCUGAAGAACUUCUGGUUAUUUGCGACAAAAAGCAGACAAGGAGUCCUCGGAGUUCUGAUAGGAGACUCUUGUGAUAUUGGAAAAGCAACACUUGGAAUGCAGCCAUGAGCCAAGGAACACCAGCCAACUCUGGAAAAAAAGGCAAGGAUUAGGUUCUCCCCUAGAACUUCCAAAAGGAACUCAGACUUCUGAUCCCACAAGAUAAUACAUUUGAAGGGUUUUGUUUUUUGUUUUUUUUUUUUUCUUUUUGUCUUUUUUUGCUAUUUCUUGGGCCGCUCCCGCGGCAUAUGGAGGUUCCCAGGCUAGGGGUCCAAUCGGAGCUGCAGCCACCGGCCUACGCCAGAGCCACAGCAAUGCUGGAUCUGAGCUGCGUCUGCAACCUACACCACAGCUCACGGCAACGCCGAAUCGUUAACCCACUGAGCAAGGGCAGGGACUGAACCCGCAACCUCAUGGUUCCUAGUCGGAUUCGUUAACCACUGCGCCACGACGGGAACUCCCUUUUUUAUUUUUUUUUUAAUUAAAUUUGUGCUAGUUUGUUUACAGCCACAAUCAGGAACUAAUGCACUUUUAUGUUCACAUAAAACCUGUACACAUAUUUUUGUAGCAGCUUUAUUCAUAAUAGUCAGUGGGUGACUGGUUAAACAUUCUGUGCUGUAGCCACCCCUGGAAUACUAGUCAGUAAUAAAAGGGAAAGGACCAUGGACACACACCAAACAACUCAAAUCUUAUGCUGAGUGGAAGAAGCCAGUCCCGAAAGCUUACAUACAGUGCGAUCCUAUUUAUACAACAUUCCUGAAAUGACAAAAUUAAAGAAAGAACAGAUUAGUGGUUCCCUCAGGGUUAAGGAAGAGAUGGGGGCAGAAGAGAAGCGGGUAUGGUUAUAAAAAGGUGACCAGAAGGACCCUCCUGGUGAUGGAAAGCUCUCCUGUGACUGUAUGGACAUCCUUAGCCUGGUUGUGACCUGGCUCUAUAGUUCUGAAAGACAUUCCCAUCAGGGGAAACUGGGUAAACAGUGUAAUGUAUCUUCUAGAUGAUUUUUUUUUUUUUUUCUGGUCUCUUUUGUCUUUUUUCUAGGGCUGCAGCCACAGCAUAUGGAGGUUCCCAGGCUAGGGGUCUAGUCGGAGCUGUAGCCACUGGCCUAGGCCACAGCCACAGCAACACAGGUUCUGAACCUCAACUAUGUCCUACACCACAACUCACGGCAACAUUGGAUCCUUAAUCUACUGAGCAAGGCCAGGGAUUGAACUUGAGUCCUCAUGGAUGCUAGUCAGGUUUGCUAACCACUGAGCCAUAACGGGAACUCAUAGAUGAUUUCUUACAGUGUGUGUGUGUGUCCGGUUAUCUUGAGGUAAAGAGCAGAAUUUUAAAAUAGUAGCAGUCACACCUCUCUUAAAAAAUGCCACAAGAGUUAAAUGAGAUCAGUAGAGUGUGGGAAGUGGGCCUUGAAGACUGGAUUGCAGUUAGGGGACAGUGAAGAAAGUCUAGGUAGUGGGAGCUUAGCAGGUACUCCGGGAGGUGGUAUCAGGACGUGAUGGGGAAGGGGCAAGACUCCUGGAAGGGCUGACUUAGGAAGGAGGCUGAUUCCCCCUUAGGAAUCUUUGGACACUUUGGCAGAGACACCCCUUUACUCUUACGUUCUCCCUUCCCCACAAAGUGCAGGGGACAAGACCAGAUACUGUCCCAGGGGGUCACCCCAGACUUCAGCUCCGCCCCCUCACCCCACUGAGUGUGGCAGUAAGCAAUUGGCCUCUGCCAAUUCAGAUUGGGAGGGAGUGCCUCUCCCCGGUAGAUAGGGUGCCUGCUGUCUCAGACAGUCCUUAGAAAAGGAUCAGUACUGCAGGCUCACGAUCCAGAGGCCAGAGGAGCCAGGGCAGUGACCAGCUAGCUAGUCCCACCAAAGCAGGAGUGACUUUCCAUUGGCAGAAAGGCAAGGUGAUACAUGGGAAUGGCAGUGGCCUGCCCAGGUGAGUAGAGAAUUACAGAGUGAGAGCUGCAGACAGGUGGCUUCCUGACCUACCUGCAGCCCUGGUAGCUGGGGCGGUCACAGUUCCUAAUUCCACAUGGGGCACUGUUCUCCCAGGCAUUUACCUACACAGGAGUCUCUGUGUAGAAUGCCCUGUCUUUGUGUUGCCGUAACAAAAUACCACAGACUAGUAGUGUGGACACAAGAGCAAUUUAUUUCUCAACAGUUCUGGAGGCUGGAAGUCCAAGAUCAAAAUGCCUGCAUAGUUACAGUGAGGGCCCUCCUUGGCGCAGAGCUGGCAGCUUCGCCCGUCUCCACAUGGCAACCUCUACGUGAGGUCUCAUAUGAGAACACUAAGCCAUUCACAAGCACUCAGCCCUCAUGACCUAAUCACCUCGAAGCCCCAUACUUCCUAACACCACCACAUUGGAGGUUAGGAUUUCAACAUAGAAUCUGCAGGGACGCAAAUGUUCAGACCAUAGCAUACCCUCCACCUGUUAACAUUUUUCUAUUCAAGGCCCUUCUGUUACUUUUCUAGUAACAUCUCCAAUCUCACUUGUCAAGAUUAAUUGUUCCAGAGUUUCCACUGUGGAUCAGUGGAUUAAGAACCCAACUCAUACCUAUGAGGAUUCGAUCCCUGGCCUCACUCAGUGGGUUAAGGAUCCAGCAUUGCUUCGAGCUGCGAGCUGCGGUGUAGGUUGCAGAUGCGGCCCAGACCUGGCAUUGCUGUGGCUGUGGCUGGCAGCUUCAGCUCCGAUUGACUCCUAGCCUGGGAACUUCCAUAUGCCGCAGGAAUGGCUAUAAAAAGAAAAGAAAAAA
rnacentral:lncRNA from 1 species